UACAGAGGGGGCAAGCGUUGUCCGGAAUUACUGGGCGUACAGCGCGCGCAGGCGGUCCUUUAAGUCUGAUGUGAAAGCCCACGGCUCAACCGUGGAGGGUCAUUGGAAACUGGGGGACUUGAGUACAGAAGAGAAGAGUGGAAUUCCACGUGUAGCGGUGAAAUGCGUAGAGAUGUGGAGGAACACCAGUGGCGAAGGCGACUCUUUGGUCUGUAACUGACGCUGAGGCGCGAAAGCGUGGGGAGCAAACAGG
rnacentral:rRNA from 1 species